UGAGUUUUAAAGCUUUUCUAUAUUUCAACUACAUUAGACAUGCUCCUAUAUAGCCUAACAGAAUAAUAAUAACACACUGUGAAGGGCCGCCUCAACAGUUUAUAACAGUGCUUUGCUGUGAUU